CCACCUUCAGACCUUUAAGGUAGCAGGAAAGCAGAGGAAAAAAUGCCAUAGCAGGGAUAAGCCUUGAACUAAAGGCAACAGAGCAACCACAAGAAGACUGAAUAGUGAAGAAAAUAAGAGAAACUGGUUAGAGUCCCCAGAUCUUGA